UACGUAGGCAACGAGCGUUGUUCGGAAUUACUGGGCGUAAAGGGCGCGUAGGCGGUCUUGUAAGUCUUGUGUGAAAUCCCUCGGCUUAACUGAGGAACUGCACGGGAUACUGCGAGACUUGAGAUAGGGAGAGGGAAGCGGAAUUCCGGGUGUAGCGGUGAAAUGCGUAGAUAUCCGGAGGAACACCGGUGGCGAAGGCGGCUUCCUGGACCGACACUGACGCUGAGGCGCGAAAGCUAGGGGAGCAAACGGG
rnacentral:rRNA from 1 species